UUGUCUCAAAGAUUAAGCCAUGCAUGUCUCAGUACAAGCCGAAUUUAGGUGAAACCGCGAAAGGCUCAUUAAAUCAGUUAUGGUUCCUUAGAUCGUACACACAUUUACUUGGAUAACUGUGGUAAUUCUAGAGCUAAUACAUGCAAACAGAGCUCCGACCGGAGACGGAAGGAGCGCUUUUAUUAGAUCAAAACCAAUCGGUGGCGAUUUCCGUCGUCAUCGUACAACUUGGUGACUCUGAAUAACUUUACGCUGAUCGCACGGUCUCGCACCGGCGACGCAUCUUUCAAAUGUCUGCCUUAUCAACUGUCGAUGGUAGGUUCUGCGCCUACCAUGGUUGUAACGGGUAACGGGGAAUCAGGGUUCGAUUCCGGAGAGGGAGCCUGAGAAACGGCUACCACAUCCAAGGAAGGCAGCAGGCGCGCAAAUUACCCACUCCCGGCACGGGGAGGUAGUGACGAAAAAUAACGAUACGGGACUCAUCCGAGGCCCCGUAAUCGGAAUGAGUACACUCUAAACCCUUUAACGAGGAUCAAUUGGAGGGCAAGUCUGGUGCCAGCAGCCGCGGUAAUUCCAGCUCCAAUAGCGUAUAUUAAAGUUGUUGCGGUUAAAAAGCUCGUAGUCGAAUCUGUGUCCCGCGCCGCCGGUUCAUCGUUCGCGGUGUUAACUGGCGUGUCGCGGGACGUCCUGCCGGUGGGCUUAGCUCGAGAGGGCGGCCCAACUCAAUCCCGCCGCGGUGCUCUUCAUUGAGUGUCGAGGUGGGCCGGCACGUUUACUUUGAACAAAUUAGAGUGCUUAAAGCAGGCUAAAACUUCGCCUGAAUACUGUGUGCAUGGAAUAAUGGAAUAGGACCUCGGUUCUAUUUUGUUGGUUUUCGGAACCCCGAGGUAAUGAUUAAUAGGAACGGAUGGGGGCAUUCGUAUUGCGACGUUAGAGGUGAAAUUCUUGGAUCGUCGCAAGACGGACAGAAGCGAAAGCAUUUGCCAAAAACGCUUUCAUUGAUCAAGAACGAAAGUUAGAGGUUCGAAGGCGAUCAGAUACCGCCCUAGUUCUAACCAUAAACGAUGCCAGCUAGCGAUCCGCCGACGUUCCUCCGAUGACUCGGCGGGCAGCUUCCGGGAAACCAAAGCUUUUGGGUUCCGGGGGAAGUAUGGUUGCAAAGCUGAAACUUAAAGGAAUUGACGGAAGGGCACCACCAGGAGUGGAGCCUGCGGCUUAAUU
rnacentral:rRNA from 1 species